rnacentral:rRNA from 1 species
UACGUAGGGUGCGAGCGUUGCCCGGAUUUAUUGGGCGUAAAGGGCUCGUAGGCGGUUUGUCGCGUCGGGAGUGAAAACCUCGGGCUUAACCCGGAAAGGUCAGCCGAUACUGCGGGGCUAGAGUGCAGAAGGGGCAACUGGAAUUCUCGGUGUAGCGGUGAAAUGCGUAGAUAUCGAGAGGAACACCUGCGGCGAAGGCGGGUUGCUGGGCUGAUACUGACGCUGAGGCGCGAAAGCCAGGGGAGGCAAACGGG